rnacentral:rRNA from 1 species
UACGGAGGGGGCAAGCGUUGUCCGGAAUCACUGGGUUUAAAGGGCGCGUAGGCGGCAUUGUAAGUGAGGGGUGAAAGCCCGCAGCUUAACUGCGGGACUCCCUUUGAUACUGCAGAGCUUGAAAGACGUUGAGGUCAGCGGAACGUGCCAUGUAGCGGUGAAAUGCAUAGAUAUGGCACAGAAGACCAAUUGCGAAGGCAGCUGGCUGGGCCUACGUUGACGCUGAGGCAAGACAGCGUGGGGAGCGAACAGG